AUGGGUCUAUUGUCAUGCCUCUUGCCGGUGCUCCAACUAGGGAAGGUUAUGGGCGCGCGCUACCCUAAUCAGGUAGGCGGACAUAAGCCUUGUGCGCCCGUAGUUGUUAUAGCCGAAUGGUCCCCGUUUGGGACCAUUUAUUUGUUUGCCACGACGGUGGCCGUUGGUGCCUUUGGUAGGCACGAGGCCACCCAUGACAUAGCCCAAAGGGGAGUUGGUCGAAGUGGCCAGGAGAGUGUCAUGGCAGUAGAUCAGUUUUGUCGGAACGUCGUUGGUCCACCCGAAUGGGGGUGCGAGGCCAUGGGUUCUGUGGUGUGGGUAAAGUGUGCUACCUCUGCAGAGAGAGAGAGAGAGAGAGAGAGAGAGAGAGAGAGAGAGAGAGAGAGAGAGAGAGAGAGAGAGAGAGAGAGAGUUAAAUCUAUCGAUAGCCGCGCACGCAGAUAA
rnacentral:rRNA from 1 species